rnacentral:rRNA from 1 species
CCCUUAGAUGUUCUGGGCCGCACGCGCGCUACACUGACUACUUCAACGAGUUGUUUCCUUGAUCGAAAGGUCUGGGUAAUCUUUGAAAGGUAGUCGUGAUGGGGAUAGAUCCUUGCAAUUUUUGAUCUUCAACGAGGAAUUCCUAGUAAACGCAAGUCAUCAGCUUGCAUUGAUUACGUCCCUGCCCUUUGUACACACCGCCCGUCGCACCUACCGAUUGAAUGGUCCGGUGAAUCUUUAGGACUGUGGCUGAGGCCUUGCCUUGUGCGGGUCUGGCCGUGGGAAUUUAGUUAAACCUUACCAUUUAGCGGAAGGUGAAGUCGUANCA